GCUGUCAGCAUUCCUGGAUCGCAUUCUGAGGCCAGUGUCCACAUCUCCUAAAAGUCCUCAUUUCAGGCUCUAGCCAUCCUUGAGGGUUUGCUGAACAGAGGCCCUAGAGAUGGGAUUUGCCUGAAAGUGUCUCCUGCACCAGCAUUUCUCCCCAGUCCAUAAAGACAAGCUGUACAGAAGGUGGAAAAUAUCAAAGUCGCCACAAAACACGGCGGAAAAGGCAUAUUCCAAUAAAAUGUCACUUUCCCUUUCCAAAUGCCUCCC